ACUCCUGCGGGAGGCAGCAGUGGGGAAUUUUGGACAAUGGGCGAAAGCCUGAUCCAGCAAUGCCGCGUGAGUGAAGAAGGCCUUCGGGUUGUAAAGCUCUUUUGUCAGAGAAGAAACGGUGAAAGCUAAUAUCUUUUGCUAAUGACGGUACCUGAAGAAUAAGCACCGGCUAACUACGUGCCAGCAGCCGCGGUAAUACGUAGGGUGCAAGCGUUAAUCGGAAUUACUGGGCGUAAAGCGUGCGCAGGCGGUUUUGUAAGUCUGAUGUGAAAUCCCCGGGCUCAACCUGGGAAUUGCAUUGGAGACUGCAAGGCUAGAAUCCGGCAGAGGGGGGUAGAAUUCCACGUGUAGCAGUGAAAUGCGUAGAUAUGUGGAGGAACACCGAUGGCGAAGGCAGCCCCCUGGGUCAAGAUUGACGCUCAUGCACGAAAGCGUGGGGAGCAAACAGGAUUAGAUACCCGAGUAGUCCCAUGAU
rnacentral:rRNA from 1 species